GAUGAACGCUGGCGGCGUGCCUAAUACAUGCAAGUCGAGCGAACAGACGAGGAGCUUGCUCCUCUGACGUUAGCGGCGGACGGGUGAGUAACACGUGUAUAACCUACCUAUAAGACUGGGAUAACUUCGGGAAACCGGAGCUAAUACCGGAUAACAUGUUGAACCGCAUGGUUCAACAGUGAAAGACGGUCUUGCUGUCACUUAUAGAUGGAUCCGCGCCGCAUUAGCUAGUUGGUAAGGUAACGGCUUACCAAGGCAACGAUGCGUAGCCGACCUGAGAGGGUGAUAGGCCACACGGGAACUGAGACACGGUCCAGACUCCUACGGGAGGCAGCAGUAGGGAAUCGUCCGCAGUGGGGGAAAGCAUGACGGAGCAACGCCGCGUGAGUGAAGAAGGUCCUGGGAUCGUAAAACUCUGUUAUGAGGGAAGAACAAAUGUGUAAGUAACUGUGCACGGCUUGACGGUACCUAAUCAGAAAGCCACGGCUAACUACGUG
rnacentral:rRNA from 1 species